CGUUGGAGUUUUCCCCGUUCCUACUGCUAAUUUAGUGAGAAGACAGACAUCCCUGUGGAGAAGGCCCAGCAAAUAAGCCAGAACCAAUCAUCUGCUUGGUGAAUUGUUCUCCUGCCUUCGCGACAUAGACUGUCUCUGAGCCGUUCCUGGUUCACUCGGAUGUUCUGGUGCUUCUACAACACUUGCUGAAUAAUCACUCUGAAUGGCG